UGGGGAAUAUUGGACAAUGGGCGAAAGCCUGAUCCAGCCAUGCCGCGUGUGUGAAGAGGGUCUUCGGAUUGUAAAGCACUUUAAGUUGGGAGGAAGGGCAGUAAGCGAAUACCUUGCUGUUUUGACGUUACCGACAGAAUAAGCACCGGCUAACUCUGUACCAGCAGCCGCGGUAAUACAGAGGGUGCAAGCGUUAAUCGGAAUUACUGGGCGUAAAGCGCGCGUAGGUGGUUCGUUAAGUUGAAUGUGAAAGCCCCGGGCUCAACCUUGGAACUGCAUCCCAAACUGGCGAGCUAGAGUAGGGCAGAGGGUGGUGGAAUUUCCUGUGUAGCGGUGAAAUGCGUAGAUAUAGGAAGGAACACCAGUGGCGAAGGCGACCACCUGGGCUCAUACUGACACUGAGGUGCGAAAGCGUGGGGAGCAAACAGG
rnacentral:rRNA from 1 species